rnacentral:rRNA from 1 species
AGGUUAAGCUGACGAGUGGCGAACGGGUGAGUAAUAUAUCGGAACGUGCCCAGUUGUGGGGGAUAACUACUCGAAAGAGUGGCUAAUACCGCAUACGACCUGAGGGUGAAAGCGGGGGAUCGCAAGACCUCGCGCAAUUGGAGCGGCCGAUAUCAGAUUAGCUAGUUGGUGGGGUAAAAGCCCACCAAGGCGACGAUCUGUAGCUGGUCUGAGAGGACGACCAGCCACACUGGGACUGAGACACGGCCCAGACUCCUACGGGAGGCAGCAGUGGGGAAUUUUGGACAAUGGACGCAAGUCUGAUCCAGCCAUGCCGCGUGUGGGAAGAAGGCCUUCGGGUUGUAAACCACUUUUGUCAGGGAAG